GGACUACGUGCAUGUUUUUAUCAUUCAGGCAUCUUGGCCAGUGCAGACUAGCGCUGCUGAUAUGAAACAGCAGCAGGAAGCUAACAAGAUUGCUGAAAGUGAAACGGUGCAAGAAUUAAAAGAUGCACUCCAUUUUGCCACUCAGGAGUUGAAGACUGCAAAGGAGGAAAAUGCAUCUUUGAAGGAGAAGAUUGCCGUUCUUGAAGAUGCUCACAAAAUGCAAGUGAGUAGCCUCCAAGAAGAGCUCAAACUCAAGGAUGAGGCGCUUCAAAGAUGUGUGAAGAAAAGAAGAGCUCGAACCAAAGCCUGGGUAGAACUCCUCCAUGAAUCGACCAUAAAAGACAUGGAGAUAAACACCAGGGAACAACACUGGAGCAGCAAGUGGCAAUCAACCGAGAAGAGCCUGAAAGAGGAGAAGAAGAAAGUGGAGGAGCUCCAAAUUAAGAACAAGCUUCUGAUGGAGAACUUACAAGAAAAUCUGGACAAAUGGAAGAACGUCCUUCAGGAGCUUGCACCCGACGCUGACCACCAGGAAGAAACCCUGGAAACAAAUUCCCAAGAGGAAAAACUGGAAAACCACGAGGGAGAAGAGGAGGGAACGGACAAACCAAGAAAGGACAAGAAAAAGCAGGAAGAAGAGGAGGAAAAGCAGGAGACAAAAGAGGACAUCGAAGAAAACCUUGAGGGAAAAAGUGACGAGAAGAUGGAAGAUAAAAGAGCAACUGAAGAUCUAAACCCAAACCUCUGCCUGGUUACCAUCCCUCUCACUCCCUCCGACUCUUGCCCUUUACCCCCUGUCCUUAUGCCCCAACUCAACCAGUCUACCUCCUCCCUACCUUACCCACCCUCUCGUGCUUUUUCCUACUCUUCACCCAGCUCUUAUUCUUUACGCAACACCCUCAGUCUCCACACCUUCCCCCAAUCCUCCUCCCAACCUUACUCGGUCUCUCGUGCUCCCUCCUACUAUUUACCCUUGUUUUCCAAACCUGUGCAGCUUUUUUGUUCAUUUUAAAAUAAACGUGUGAAAUUUCA
ensembl:lncRNA